rnacentral:rRNA from 1 species
UACGGAGGAUGCAAGCGUUAUCCGGAAUGAUUGGGCGUAAAGCGUCCGCAGGUGGCUGUGUAAGUCUGCUGUUAAAGAGUCUAGCUCAACUAGAUACAAGCAGUGGAAACUACACGGCUAGAGUACGUUCGGGGCAGAGGGAAUCCCUGGUGUAGCGGUGAAAUGCGUAGAGAUCAGGAAGAACACCGGUGGCGAAGGCGCUCUGCUAGGCCGUAACUGACACUGAGGGACGAAAGCUAGGGGAGCGAAUGGG